UUGAACGCUGGCGGCAUGCCUUACACAUGCAAGUCGAACGGCAGCACGGGUGCUUGCACCUGGUGGCGAGUGGCGAACGGGUGAGUAAUACAUCGGAACAUGUCCUGUAGUGGGGGGUAGCCCGGCGAAAGCCGGAUUAAUACCGCAUACGAUCCAUGGAUGAAAGCGGGGGACCUUCGGGCCUCGCGCUAUAGGGUUGGCCGAUGGCUGAUUAGCUAGUUGGUGGGGUAAAGGCCCACCAAGGCGACGAUCAGUAGCUGGUCUGAGAGGACGACCAGCCACACUGGGACUGAGACACGGCCCAGACUCCUACGGGAGGCAGCAGUGGGGAAUUUUUGACAAUGGGGGAAACCCUGAUCGAGCGACGCCGCGUGGAGGAUGAAGGUCUUCGGAUUGUAAACUCCUGUCAUUGGGGAACAAUGCACAGAUAUUAACUGUAUUUGUGUUGAUAGUACCCGAAGAGGAAGAGACGGCUAACUCUGUGCCAGCCGCCGCCGUAA
rnacentral:rRNA from 1 species